rnacentral:rRNA from 1 species
UCCGUACGAGCGCAACCCUGUCCUUAGUUACCAGCACGUUAUGUGGGCACUCUAAGGAGACUGCCGGUGACAACCGGAGGAAGGUGGGGAUGACGUCAAGUCAUCAUGGCCCUUACGGCCUGGGCUACACACGUGCUACAAUGGUCGGUACAAAGGGUUGCCAAGCCGCGAGGUGGAGCUAAUCCCAUAAAACCGAUCGUAGUCCGGAUCGCAGUCUGCAACUCGACUGCGUGAAGUCGGAAUCGCUAGUAAUCGUGAAUCAGAAUGUCACGGUGAAUACGUUCCCGGGCCUU